CCCGGUGCGCAGGCAACGGAUACUUCUCCUUCGAACAGAGAAAGACGCGGGUUCGAAUCCCGCCGCCGGUC
rnacentral:tRNA from 1 species